rnacentral:rRNA from 1 species
AGAGUUUGAUUCUGGCUCAGAUUGAACGCUGGCGGAAUGCUUUACACAUGCAAGUCGAACGGCAGCACGGGUGCUUGCACCUGGUGGCGAGUGGCGAACGGGUGAGUAAUGCGUCGGAACGUACCGAGUAAUGGGGGAUAACGCGGCGAAAGUCGCGCUAAUACCGCAUACGCCCUGAGGGGGAAAGUGGGGGAUCGCAAGACCUCACGUUAUUCGAGCGGCCGACGUCUGAUUAGCUAGUUGGUGGGGUAAAGGCCUACCAAGGCGACGAUCAGUAGCGGGUCUGAGAGGAUGAUCCGUCACACUGGGACUGAGACACGGCCCAGACUCCUACGGGAGGCAGCAGUGGGGAAUUUUGGACAAUGGGGGCAACCCUGAUCCAGCCAUUCCGCGUGAGUGAAGAAGGCCUUCGGGUUGUAAAGCUCUUUCAGCUGGAACGAAACGGUACGCUCUAACAUAGCGUGCUAAUGACGGUACCGGCAGAAGAAGCACCGGCUAACUACGUGCCAGCAGCCGCGGUAAUACGUAGGGUGCGAGCGUUAAUCGGAAUUACUGGGCGUAAAGCGUGCGCAGGCGGAUUGUUAAGCAAGAUGUGAAAUCCCCGGGCUUAACCUGGGAAUGGCAUUUUGAACUGGCAGUCUAGAGUGCGUCAGAGGGGGGUGGAAUUCCACGUGUAGCAGUGAAAUGCGUAGAGAUGUGGAGGAACACCAAUGGCGAAGGCAGCCCCCUGGGAUGACACUGACGCUCAUGUACGAAAGCGUGGGUAGCAAACAGGAUUAGAUACCCUGGUAGUCCACGCCCUAAACGAUGUCAACUGGUUGUUGGGGGGAGUGAAAUCCCUUAGUAACGAAGCUAACGCGUGAAGUUGACCGCCUGGGGAGUACGG